CAGAUGAUGCCUAUCAACUGUUUUAAAAAGUAUGGUUCUGCUAUCACUCUUGGGAUGGGACCUGCGGUGCAUUAGCUAGUUUGGUGGGUAACGGGCCUACCAAGGCGAUGAUGCAUAGCCGAGUUGAGAGACUGAUCGGCCACAUUGGGACUGAGACACGGCCCAAACUCCUACGGGAGGCAGCAUAGGGAAUCUUCCACAAUGGACGCAAGUCUGAUGGAGCAACGCCGCGUGAGUGAAGAAGGGUUUCGGCUCGUAAAGCUCUGUUGUUGGUGAAGAAGGACAGGGGUAGUAACUGACCUUUGUUUGACGGUAAUCAAUUAGAAAGUCACGGCUAACUACGUGCCAGCAGCCGCGGUAAU
rnacentral:rRNA from 1 species